rnacentral:rRNA from 1 species
UACAGAGGGUCUCAAGCGUUGUUCGGAUUCAUUGGGCGUAAAGGGUGCGUAGGCGGCGCGGUAAGUCGGGUGUGAAAUCUCGGAGCUUAACUCCGAAACUGCAUUCGAUACUGGCGUGCUUGAGGACUGGAGAGGAGAGUGGAAUUCCUGGUGUAGCGGUGAAAUGCGCAGAUAUCAGGAGAACACCAGUGGCGAAGGCGGCUGACUGGUCCGGUUCUGACGCUGAGGCGGCGAAAGCGUGGGGAGCAAACAGG